UGCUGGGCCUGGGCAAAGUAGCAGAGGACCAGGGGACCACAGGAGGAAUCGUCGCUGUACCAGGAUGUACCUGUGCUGCAUGCUGGGCACCCGGCAUACCCUGUAGCUCCGCCCACGGCUCCUAGAUCCCCUACGCCAUCGCCUCCGCUCCUGGAUCCCCCUCCGCCGUUGCCUCCGCUCCGUCGCCUCGUCUCCCACCACGGCGUAAGCACCUCCGUGCUCCACAGGAUCUUGGAGCUAACAGCUGCCCCAAUCUCCUCCCCGCUCCCACGUUCGUGAAGUGCCGCCGUCGGUGACAACUCACCGACAAGAGAGGAGUGGAUUCGCACGCCGUUCGUCGUCCCAAGCUGGACCUGCGCAGCUACAUCGACGCGACCUAACUAGAGCUUCGCACGGCGCCGACCACGUCGCCACUCGCCACUGUAUCUGUCUGGCAUUGCUUGGUUCGGUGUGAUUGUGACGGGGGUUUUCCGCUGCUUGGAUUGGUUGAUUUGCAUUGCAGGUGAGCCUGCACGGGGCCAGGUCGUCUCUUGGUGGAAAGACCGCGGCGAGGAGCACCUCUUCACCAGCAGCAAGACUUCUUCAUUUCCCCCCUUUAAUUUACUGUCCGUGUCCAGUAAUCUCCAGUACUUGGAAGUUGCUAAUGAUAAUCUUGUGUUAUUAUCAUGCUCAUGCACUGAUAUUCAGACUCUUCUCCUUGCAAUCCAUCUAUUAUCCAUUGUAUCUAGUUUCUUGAAACUAUUCAGAAAUCAACUGCGUAAACAUAAAUGCAUUCUACUUGUCGGAGGCUGGCAUAUGGAGCUAGCUGACCUUUGCUGAGCAGUGAGCAGAGUACCCUGGUGAUGGGGUCAGUUGGGCUCAGAGCGCUCUUUUAGGGAACACAGUUUUUUGUGUUUGAUAGGAGCUGAAAAUCCUCAAGUAUGACAUGGCCAGUAUAGUUCAGUUACCACAAAUUUUAGUUAGCAGCCUUUUCAGUGCUCCUGCUAAUUCAGGUUGCCUCUGGUAGUGUAUGCAAUUAGCAGCUGAUAAGUUACUUGUAACCCUGGGAUCAGUUUAAAAGAUAAGCUAUUAUUAUCACAGCUUGGAUGCCCAUAUUUGUAUAUUCUUUUGAAAACAACAGAUUUUUUUUUUUGGAAAUUUAGACUGCUGCA